rnacentral:rRNA from 1 species
CUUGCUUUCUUUGCUGGCGACCGGCGCACGGGUGGGUAACACGUAUCCAACCUGCCCUUUACUCGGGGAUAGCCUUUCGAAAGAAAGAUUAAUACCCGAUAGCAUAAUGAUUCCGCAUGGUUUCAUUAUUAAAGGAUUCCGGUAAAGGAUGGGGAUGCGUUCCAUUAGGUUGUUGGUGAGGUAACGGCUCACCAAGCCUUCGAUGGAUAGGGGUUCUGAGAGGAAGGUCCCCCACAUUGGAACUGAGACACGGUCCAAACUCCUACGGGAGGCAGCAUG